CACUAGAUAACAAGCCUCCAGGUGGACGUGCCCCAUCUGCCCUUCACUUUCCUCUUCCGCACGGGCAGAAUCUCCCUUCUGGACUGUGGGAUUCACGGUUGUUCUCCUCCUCUCCAUCCACCAGGGCUUGACUUCAGGUGCAGCAGAAUUCCCCAGCCCCCCAAGGAUUUGAGACCCAUCAGCUUUCCUCACCUGGUUUAGCCGGCCGGUUGAAGCCGUUGCUUGAACCCCUGUUGCAUGCUGACAGCUUCUGGAAGCCACAGCCCAAACAGGAUUUCCUUUCUGCCCACUCUGAAAAAGGGGAUGGAGAAGACAGAAUAGCAGGGGACAAGGCACCUUUUGUUUCAUUAGGAAUAGCCAUUAAAAUGUGUGAAAUGUGGAA